rnacentral:lncRNA from 1 species
ACUUUACCUUAUCAAGUUGGGAAACUACUUCCCACAGUAAGGAAUGCAAAACUGAAAGCUCUCGGCCCAGUCACCUACUUGGCAAAGUUGGCCAGGUUCUGAAUGACCUUGGCAAUAAGAGUUAGAGUCCGAGAUGUGCGGUCAUCAGGAUACUCCUGCAUAAGGUUGAAAAGACUGGGAGACAUAAUGGCUGGACACAGAAAACGGAGAAAUAAUGAGGCACUGAUGAGCCUCUCGCUGAUGUCUUGCUUGCCACGGUUCAGGCACUGCUGCUUCCAUGAUGCAAACACUUCUUUCAACUCACGAGGGA